AGUUUGAUCCUGGCUCAGGAUGAACGCUAGCUACAGGCUUAACACAUGCAAGUCGAGGGGCAGCAUUGGAGUAGCAAUACUUCAGAUGGCGACCGGCGCACGGGUGAGUAACACGUAUCCAACCUGCCGCUUACUCGGGGAUAGCCUUUCGAAAGAAAGAUUAAUACCCGAUGGUAUAAAGAGUUCGCAUGUUCUCUUUAUUAAAGAAUUUCGGUAAGCGAUGGGGAUGCGUUCCAUUAGAUAGUUGGCGGGGUAACGGCCCACCAAGUCUACGAUGGAUAGGGGUUCUGGGAGGAAGGUCCCCCACAUUGGAACUGAGACACGGUCCAAACUCCUACGGGAGGCAGCAGUGAGGAAUAUUGGUCAAUGGACGAGAGUCUGAACCAGCCAAGUAGCGUGAAGGAUGACUGCCCUAUGGGUUGUAAACUUCUUUUAUAAGGGAAUAAAGUGAGGGACGUGUCCCUUUUUGUAUGUACCUUAUGAAUAAGGAUCGGCUAACUCCGUGCCAGCAGCCGCGGUAAUACGGAGGAUCCGAGCGUUAUCCGGAUUUAUUGGGUUUAAAGGGAGCGUAGGUUGACGUAUAAGUCAGCUGUGAAAGUUUACGGCUCAACCGUGAAAUUGCAGUUGAUACUGUAUGUCUUGAGUGUACAAGAGGUGGGCGGAAUUCGUGGUGUAGCGGUGAAAUGCUUAGAUAUCACGAAGAACUCCAAUUGCGAAGGCAGCUCACUGGGGUACAACUGACACUGAGGCUCGAAAGUGUGGGUAUCAAACAGGAUUAGAUACCCUGGUAGUCCACACAGUAAACGAUGAAUACUCGCUGUUUGCGAUAUACAGUAAGCGGCCAAGCGAAAGCAUUAAGUAUUCCACCUGGGGAGUACGCCGGCAACGGUGAAACUCAAAGGAAUUGACGGGGGCCCGCACAAGCGGAGGAACAUGUGGUUUAAUUCGAUGAUACGCGAGGAACCUUACCCGGGCUUGAAUUGCAGAGGAACAUAGUUGAAAGAUUAUGGCCGCAAGGUCUCUGUGAAGGUGCUGCAUGGUUGUCGUCAGCUCGUGCCGUGAGGUGUCGGCUUAAGUGCCAUAACGAGCGCAACCCUUAUCAUUAGUUACUAACAGGUCAUGCUGAGGACUCUAGUGAGACUGCCGUCGUAAGAUGUGAGGAAGGUGG
rnacentral:rRNA from 1 species